UCCGAAAGGCUUCAGCAGGAACUUCAGCCAAGACUAAGUCCACACUUUUCAUCAAAGUCGAAUUGCCAAAUCUUGUCUCGGAUGAAGGGAUUAGAGAAGAUCUACGCACCUUGACCUACGUAAGAAAAUGUGUAGAGCUGUGUUGGUAUAUGUGUAUGCAGGAUCCGCCUAUGGUUAUCAUCAGCCCCGAGAGAGGACAAGAAAUCGACAAGGGGUUGUUUUCCCUCCAUGGCCGCCGCGGGAAGACUGUGGAAGUCUGUGUGUGGCCUGCUCUUCUGCUUCACGAUGGCGGGCCGCUGGUGUGUAAGGGAUACGUCCUACCAGAGGAGAGGAAACGAAAGAAAUAAGAAAGAAAUCCUAUUUUAUGAGUGUAUUUUCAUUAAUGUUUGGAAUUAAUUAUGACUGUUAGGUAAUAGCAUUUUAUGACUGAUCAUAAAGAUGAACAAUAAACAUAUCGCUUUAAGAGUGAAUACCUAUUAUUAUGUAUAUAUUGAAUGUUAUAAUUCUGUUGAAUUUGUACAAUGAUUACAAAAAGAAUUGAAUUUAAAAAAAACAAAUGCUUUUUAAUAAAAAUUAAAUGCUUAUUCAUAUAUAUUACUAACUUCUUAGAAAAUUUUGCAUAUGCGUUUGAGCAAUUUUUUUUCUCACUUUGCAUGAAUGUUUGUUUCUCUCUAAACGUUGAUCGUUAAUAUAAGUGAACAUGAAAAAAUGUUUAGAAAUUUUUUUUUUAUAAAUCUGAUGAAAUACUUUUUUCAUAAAGUGCCAUAUUUUAAAAACAAAAGAUAACUGAUGUUAUCGUGACCAAUAAAUUUCAUUUUGAAACACUGUUUAUUUAAAUUAUUUGAAGUAAAAGAAGAUCAUAAUGAGACUUCGUACAUCCAGGAA